UUAGAUCACCGAAGUCAAGCAUCAUUGGGCGCGGUCAGUACUUGGGUGGGUGACCACCUGGGAACACUGCGUGGCGU
rnacentral:rRNA from 1 species